UACAUGGGGUGCAAACGUUGCUCGGAAUUAUUGGGCGUAAAGCGCACGUAGGCGGUUUGUUAAGUCGGAUGUGAAAUCCCUCGGCUCAACUGAGGAAGUGCAUCCGAAACUGGCAGGCUUGAGUACUAAAGAGGGUCGCGGAAUUCCCGGUGUAGAGGUGAAAUUCGUAGAUAUUGGGAGGAACACCGGUGGCGAAGGCGGCGACCUGGGUAGAUACUGACGCUGAGGUGCGAAAGCGUGGGGAGCGAACAGG
rnacentral:rRNA from 1 species